rnacentral:misc_RNA from 1 species
AUCACAUUCCAGGAUCAGGAGAAAAUAAAAUUUGGGCAAUUAUUGGUGCGAUUGGAAACCUUUUCUUUGCAUUUAACACUGGAAUGAUUCCAGAGAUACAGGCUACAAUCAGACAACCUGUCGUUGGAAACAUGGUGAAAGCGCUUAACUUUCAGUUCACAGUGGGAGUUGUGCCUAUGCAUGCUGUUACUUACAUUGGGUAUUGGGCUUACGGAUCUGUUGUUUCGUCCUAUUUGCUCAACAAUGUUCAUGGUCCAGCUUGGGUGUUAGGAGUGGCUCACUUAUCUGCUUUUUUCCAAGCUAUCAUUACCUUGCAUAUAUUUGCAAGUCCAACAUAUGAGUACCUGGAUACUAAAUAUGGAGUGAAAGGAAGUGCCUUGGCUCCACGAAAUAUUCUAUUCAGACUGGUUGUCAGAGGUGGUUACCUUGUCAUGACCACUUUCCUCUCAGCUUUGCUACCUUUCCUAGGUAACUUCAUGAGCCUUACUGGUGCUAUCAGUACGAUUCCGCUCACAUUCAUACUCCCAAACCACAUGUACAUUAUAGCUAAGAAAGACAAGUUAACUAGCUUACAGAAGAGUUGGCAUUGGCUAAAUAUUGUCGUCUUUGGUUGCGUGUCAGUCGCUGCAUUUGUAGCUGCCUUGAAGCUAACCGUUGUACAGACUCAAACUUAUCAUGUCUUUGCUGAUCUGUAAUUUCUUUUCUUUUUUCUGUUUGGGUAAGUAGUUAUAAGGGUUCCAAGAUAUAUAUUUCUUUGUUAGCAACUUUUACUUUUUAUUUAUUAGAACAAUGCAAUAUUGG